rnacentral:rRNA from 1 species
UAGGGAAUAUUAGAAAUGGACGAAAGUCUGAUCUAGCGACACCGCGUGUGCGAUGAAGGCCUUCGGGUUGUAAAGCACUUUUUGGAAGGAACAGGAAGGAAGGUACUUCCAGAAUAAGUCUCGGCUAACUACGUGCCAGCAGCCGCGGUAACACGUAGGAGGCAAACGUUAUCCGGAUUUACUGGGCGUAAAGCGCGUGUAGGUGGUUCUGUAAGUAGGGCGUGAAAGCUCCCGGCUCAACUGGGAGAGGCCGUUCGAAACUGCAGAGCUAGAGGAUGGUAGAGGGAGGUGGAAUUUCGGGUGUAGCGGUGGAAUGCGCAGAUAUCCGGAGGAACACCAGUGGCGGAAGCGGCCUCCUGGACCAUUCCUGACACUCAGACGCGAAAGCUAGGGUAGCAAACG